AUACGGAGGGUGCAAGCGUUACUCGGAAUCACUGGGCGUAAAGCGCGCGCAGGCGGGCUGAUAAGUUGGAUGUGAAAGCCUACGGCUCAACCGUAGAACUGCAUCCAAAACUGUCAGUCUAGAGUGUGGGAGAGGAAGAUGGAAUUAGUUGUGUAGGGGUAAAAUCCGUAGAGAUAACUAGGAAUACCAAAAGCGAAGGCAAUCUUCUGGAACACUACUGACGCUGAGGCGCGAAGGCGUGGGGAGCAAACAGGAUUAGAAACCCCGGUAGUCC
rnacentral:rRNA from 1 species